AUGCUCUGCGCCGGUUCCCAACCGGUCGCAUCGCCACCGUCCGAUGCGUGUUUCCAGCCAUCAGAUCAGCCCCCGCUUCGUCCUUACUGUUUCACUUUCGGAAUCUAUCUAGCGGGCAGCCCUACGUGUACAAUACCCCACCUACGUCAUGCACGCCUUCAAUCAAUGCCAGCUCUCACCCAACCCCGUUCUCCCCUUUACUGCUGCACCGGACGCCCACUUUCCUCCUCAUCCUCUUCUCCUCCGCCUCCCCCUCCCCCUCCCCCUCCAUUUCACUCUUUCCCUACCUUUCCCCCUCUCACCAUCUGGAUCUCCAUUGCUUCGAUCUCCGAUCUCUCCCUGUACCUUGCAGUUCCAACCAUGGUGUCUUCUUCAUCCUCCAUGCCAGCGGUGUCGCUCACCGCACCAGAAGACAUCGCGCCUCUCCCCCUUAUCCGGUGCCCCAGAUGCAACCUUGGUGUGAUCCAGUGGUUCAUCUCUGAGACCUCACUCAAUCCCGGUUGCCAUUUCUACAAGUGCGAGUUCCGCGAUACUGGGCGUUGCAGCUUCUGGAAAUGGGAGAACAAGUACAUCGACUACCUUCGCGCUCGUUGGUCCCAUGUGUUUCUUCCCGCAGCUCCUCCUCCACAUGAAGCGCCCACCUUGAUCCUGCGUGAGAUUCAGUAUGACAUCAAGAUCGCACUCGCCGUCGCCCUGGAUUCACAUAACAUGUCUGCACCACAGCCCUUCGUCAAUGCAGAUCGAGACCCUCUUGAAGAUCCAGAUUUCUUCAACUCACACUCCACCGCCCCAACCUCAACAUCUCGAACGUCUCUUCAGAAGCAAAUGGUGAUGAAUAGAGUGGACACGAUCACCAGGUCUAUAAAUCUUGAUAAUCUCCGAACUCUGAGGUUUACUGAUGUUGAUGUUCACAAGGUAUUUGGUAUACCAUGUGGGCAACUAGACAUUGCAUUACACGAGCAACCGAAUGAAACAACCGUAAACAUUAUACGUGGAGCCCUUGGCAUGCCUGAGAAGGGAAAUCAGAUUUUGAAAGCAGCAGAGAAAGUUCUAUGUCAUCCACUUUCUGAAAAACUAUCAUCAACUAUCAAGAAAGACAGUUUUAAGAUGGCACUAGUUAUCUUUGUUAUGGGUCACUUACUCACCCCCAGCAACAAGCAUGACGCUGCUCCGAUUGAUUACUGGGCAGGAAUUAUUUUCAACCUUGACAAUGUUGAUUUAAGAAUUUUCAACAUGUCCCGCAACACACUCCCAAGGAUAUCUGUAUUCAAACUAUCAUCUUUCCGUAGGAUGAUCCUACAGUGCAGCAACCCUUCAAAGCAGAUCGAAGAUUACUCAAAUGUCCGAAUUCGCCCAGCUGCUGAUAUUUGCUACAAACGAGCUCUUUGGGAUUCUACACCAGACAUUCAGACUCCUAGAGUAAUUACAAAACCUACACUAAGCAACCACCCAAGUCUGCAGCAGACUCCUCCUCAACAGAAUCUACGCCAGUCCGGUCCUUCCCUUAGCACUGGAUCAUCGGGACAGAGCAGGACCAACACAAAUGCACCCGCACAACUUUUUCGCAGUCCGCGUCCAUCAAGUGCGAAUGACUUCGCUAUUCACAUGAAGGAUAACUAUCCUAAUUUGGUGAGUUACAUUGUAUGCUCUUAUUACUAA
rnacentral:rRNA from 1 species